AAAGCUAGGGUAGGUAAUGUUUGAGAGCUAGCAAAAUUUGAAAAUGGCAGCUCUUCUAAGCUCCACCCCCUCUCGUUAGCACUCCGUCCAAAGCUACGCCCCCACAAACAUGAACGCGCAUCCACAGUCGGAGUCAGCUGCAGGUCACAGGAAAACCGAGUAUUUCAACACAUUAUAGGCAUCAACCAAACGACUUCAUGUCUCAUUCACCUAGUUUCCACGACGAGAGCAUUUGAUCUGAUCCUACAUACAGUCCGCAUCCGAGCACGUCUUCAGGUCAAAGGGGACAGACCCGAGGUCGUGCUCGAGGAAGAGGAGGUGCACGGGGUAGAAGCCGAGGAAGUCGAGGUAGAGGACGCGGAGCAAGUCAGACUGCAACCGGAGAACACCUGAGACAUGACGAUAUUCUGCAAGUCGAGAAUCUGCAAGCUCAACGAAUUUCAGAUGAGCAGGCCAGAAUUCAUACACUGAGCUUGGAAGAAUCCCAUCAGUUGCUGCAGAUCUGCCUGACAAGGGACCCAAGCCUCAUCUUUGAUCUCCUCCAAAGGU